rnacentral:rRNA from 2 species
UGGGGAAUAUUGGACAAUGGGCGAAAGCCUGAUCCAGCCAUGCCGCGUGUGUGAAGAAGGUCUUCGGAUUGUAAAGCACUUUAAGUUGGGAGGAAGGGCAGUAAGCUAAUACCUUGCUGUUUUGACGUUACCGACAGAAUAAGCACCGGCUAACUCUGUGCCAGCAGCCGCGGUAAUACAGAGGGUGCAAGCGUUAAUCGGAAUUACUGGGCGUAAAGCGCGCGUAGGUGGUUUGUUAAGUUGGAUGUGAAAGCCCCGGGCUCAACCUGGGAACUGCAUCCAAAACUGGCAAGCUAGAGUAUGGUAGAGGGUGGUGGAAUUUCCUGUGUAGCGGUGAAAUGCGUAGAUAUAGGAAGGAACACCAGUGGCGAAGGCGACCACCUGGACUGAUACUGACACUGAGGUGCGAAAGCGUGGGGAGCAAACA